rnacentral:rRNA from 1 species
CCUACGGGAGGCAGCAGUAGGGAAUAUUGCUCAAUGGGGGAAACCCUGAUGCAGCAACGCCGCGUGGAGGAUGAAGGUUUUAGGAUUGUAAACUCCUUUUGUUAGAGAAGAUUAUGACGGUAUCUAUCGAAUAAGCACCGGCUAACUCCGUGCCAGCAGCCGCGGUAAUACGGAGGGUGCAAGCGUUAAUCGGAAUCACUGGGCGUAAAGAGUGCGUAGGCGGGGGAAUAAGGCAGAUGUGAAAUCCUGUAGCUUAACUAAAGAAUUGCAUUUGAAACUGGUACACUGGAGUGUGGGAGAGGGAGGUGGAAUUCCUGGUGUAGGGGUGAAAUGCGUAGAGAUCAAGAGGAAUACUCAUUGCGAAGGCGACCUCCUGGAAAAUUACUGACGCUGAGGCACGAAAGCGUGGGGAGCAAACAGGAUUAGAUACCCGGGUAGUC